GGUUGCCCUUGUUUUAUUCAGCGUUCAUAGCACAUUUUAGGGCCACACUUACUUUCCUUCCACAAAAUAGCCUGAAAAAAAGGUGGUCGGUCCACUGCAAGGGAAUUUCUUUCUCGCAAUUCUGGUCUUUGGUAAAUAGUCCUCAAAAAAAUGUCCAAAUAUAGGCUGGCAGUAACCGCAAAAGGCAGAGGCCCUUACACAAGCAGGACCAAGCUCUGUGGGCCACACCAUCUCUCUGCUGUUCAGAGCGGAUGGGGUAACUGUGCUUCCCUCCAUUAGCUAUGAUCCACGUUCACUGGGAGCUGUAGGGGGCAACAACAAAAACAUCACAAAAGGGUUUGACUGUUUGUUCACCCUGCUCAGCUGAGACAGAGUUUGUCCUUCAGUUGUGCCUUGAUAUCAACUGUAGUAGGGCACAACAUUAUAAUAGAUAUAUACAUGCAUUUCUAAUAUUGGCAUACGCAUGCAUAACCACACACACUCAGCAACAGCAUAUGUAGCAUCAGAUACUAAGUAAAGCCCUUUGCUUUCAAGCACACUGAUGUGAUGUGGAAUCUGUUUGAUCAGCAGAGGAAGCCAGUUGUGUCAGCACCUACACUGGAUACGUAUGCUCAACCUAAAUGGGCAGAGAGAAAGCAGACAGGGGAGAGAGACUCGGAAGAUUGUAAGGAGAUUGCCUGCAAUGCAUGAGUGAUAUUUUGGAAUAAAACUGUAUUCCUUCUAAUAAUUAGAAUUUUA
rnacentral:lncRNA from 1 species